rnacentral:rRNA from 1 species
GAUGAACACUGACAGAAUGCUUAACACAUGCAAGUCUACUUGAUUCUACUUCGGUAGUUGAUGGUGGCGGACGGGUGAGUAACGCGUAAAGAAUCUGCCCUUUAGUUUGGGAUAACCUUUGGAAACGAAGGCUAAUACCGGAUAUUAUGGAGACGUCGCAUGGCGACUCCAUGAAAGCUAUAUGCGCUAGAGGAGGACUUUGCGUCCCAGUAGUUAGUUGGUGAGGUAAUGGCUCACCAAGACCGCGAUGGGUAGCCGGCCUGAGAGGGUGAUCGGCCACAAGGGAACUGAGACACGGUCCUUACUCCUACGGGAGGCAGCAGUGGGGAAUAUUGGACAAUGGGCCACAAGCCUGAUCCAGCAAUUCUGUGUGCACGAUGAAGGUCUUCGGAUUGUAAAGUGCUUUCAGUAGGGAAGAAAAAAAUGACGGUACCUACAGAAGAAGCGACGGCUAAAUAUGUGCCAGCCGCCGCGGUAACAC